rnacentral:rRNA from 1 species
UACGUAGGGUGCAAGCGUUAAUCGGAAUUACUGGGCGUAAAGCGUGCGCAGGCGGUAAUGUAAGACAGUUGUGAAAUCCCCGGGCUCAACCUGGGAACUGCAUCUGUGACUGCAUUGCUGGAGUACGGUAGAGGGGGAUGGAAUUCCGCGUGUAGCAGUGAAAUGCGUAGAUAUGCGGAGGAACACCGAUGGCGAAGGCAAUCCCCUGGACCUGUACUGACGCUCAUGCGCGAAAGCGUGGGGAGCAAACAGG